UGGCGGACGGGUGAGUAACGCGUGGGUAACCUGCCCUGUACAGGGGGAUAACAGUUGGAAACGGCUGCUAAAACCGCAUAACAUGGAGAUACCGCAUGAUAUUUCCAUCAAAUAUUUAUAGGUACAGGAUGGGCCCGCGUCUGAUUAGCCAGUUGGCAGGGUAAUGGCCUACCAAAGCGACGAUCAGUAGCCGGCUUGAGAGAGUGAACGGCCACAUUGGGACUGAGACACGGCCCAAACUCCUACGGGAGGCAGCAG
rnacentral:rRNA from 1 species